GCAAAUGUAUCCAAUAAGAUCGAAAUAUAAUAUUACCGAUUCAUUCAAAUUCCGUGCAACGUUGUUAAAUUACAAAUAAUUGGACAGAAGUAAUAGUAAAUCAGUUUAGAGCCAACCUUCGAAAAUUUCUUCCAAUGUGACUCCGUUGAGUACAUAAUUGAAUUUUUACAAAAGUAGCUCUGCGCACACGUCAUUUUUUCGUCAGAGUUUUGUUCUACCAAAAGUGGUUCGACCAAUUGUAGGGGAAGAAGCUUUUCGACUGUAAUAGUCACAUAGCAGGCAGGCAUACAUCAUAUAGAAAACAAACUAGCAGCAACAGAAACGACCUUGACGAAAAUGUACCUGUACCAGUAUUGCAAACGGAUUAAUUUUUCCAAGAAUAUUUGUCAAAAAUGCGCGAAAACCUAUUGCACGUAUCUAAAAUACGUAACUUUAGAAAAGUUCAGUAAAAAUUAAAUAGCUGUCUUGAUCAUGUUAUUUCAGUGUUUGUGAUAUUGGUAGCCAACGCAAAUUGAUUUUUUUUCUUUUGAUGAUGCCAGAAACGAAAAAAUGAAUAUGUGCUUCGUAGAGUGAACCAGUGAUAGUCAUUCAUUGUGGCCAUAAUGUAAUAAAAAUUUCUCAUAUAUUGUUCUUGCAUAAAUGUAUUUUCAACUGUGAUUCUGCAUUGAAGAUUUGAAGUGUAUUCUUGUGUUCGAUCCGCGCAUAAACUGCAUUUAACUGCAAAACAGCUAAAUCUAAACCAGCUUCUACCGAUAAAAUGAAAAAGUUCACUUUCAAAGGAGUUUUAGAUGGUUUUAGAAGUUCUACAGUGAAUCAAUCGUCUCCCCUUGGCCAAUCCAGAAUUUGCACAGAACAAGAAAUUCAGGAAACUCUCAAAUCAGAGCAUUUUCAACUGCGCAAGAUCUCGUAACCACUAUUGAGCAACUCUCUACGAAAUCGGCCGAUUUCGACCAUUUUUAUUUUUUGUAUUUUUUGAUUUGGCUCAAACUUUGUGGGGGCCUUCCCUAUGACCAAAGAAGCUUUUUUGUGUCAUUGGUUCACCCAUACAAGUCACCAUACAAUUUGGGCUGCUGUCCAUACAAAAAUGUUGCAGGUAUUGUUGAGGACUAAUGAGAAAAAAUAGGUACACGGAUGUUUCAUGUUUAAACAUUGAAAAUCGGACCAUUAGUUGCGGAGAUAUCGAAAUUAGAAAAUGGUGGGUUGUUUGGGUGAGUCUAAACAUUUAAAUUUUCCUGUUUCUUUUGCUUUAAGCCGCUGUAUCUCAGCAACCAGAGGUCCAAUCUUCAAUGUCUCUUAGACAAUUUUAGAGCAAUUUUUUGAACUUUUCAAAAAAAAUAUUUUUAGAAAAGGUCACUCAUGGUCACUAUUUUAAAAAAACGAAAAACUGUAAAUAUUUCGCUAAAAUCAUACUAUCGGUGGCUAUAUCUUGAAAACAGAGCUCUUUAUCAAAAAAUCUGUAGAGUACUUUUCGAUUGCAAAUUCAAUUUUACAUUAAAAAAUUACAUCAAAUUUGUUUUUGCAUGAAAUUUCGAUUUUUUCCAAAAAUCACUAUUUUUUCAAAAAAUCAUAACUCGGCGGCAGAUUUUUUGACCAUGUUUCUCCCUGGCUCAAAAGUUGCGGGUUUUUGUCCCCCUAAAAUAUAUCAUAAGAUCUUGAAAAUAAAAAAAUACGUAUUUUGGGAAAUUGAGUUUUUGUGAAAAAAAGUUGAUCAAAACUCUGCAAAUUGUUUUUUCCGUGUACCUUUUUUUUCUCAAUAGUCCUCAACAAUACCUACAAAUUUGCCGAAGCCACAAAUUGAUCAGAAAAUGGACUCAAAAGUUACAGCUGUUUUAAUAUUUACGUACCAUUUUUGUAUUGACAGCAGCCAAAAUUGUAUGGUGACUUGUAUGGAUGAACCAAUGACACAAAAAAGCUUCUUUGGUCCCACAAUGUUUGAGCCAAAUAAAAAAAUACAAAUAAAAUCCAUAUCCGGUUUUGGUAGAAAAUUGCUCUUUUUGAAAAUUGGUAGGAAAGCCUUUAAAAUUCCAUAUCGGAAAUGGUACCCUACCGUUUUUUGUCGACCGUUUGAGAUGAGGGUGGUUAGCAAUGGUAACCUUAAAAAUCCCCGAACAACGUUUCUUCAAAUUACCAUUUGUGUAAUGGUAAAAAUAAAGUUAAUUUUCUUGUAAAAGCAACGUUUAUCUUUCGGUUUUUACUAUUCCAGAAAAGGGUUUUAAAUGGUAUUUUAAGGUUUUUUACUAGGUAUUUGAUAAAUGGUAAUUAAAUAGUAAGUUAAAGUUUGUAAUUUGUAAUUUAUUGGAAAGUUUGUAAUUUGCAAUUUAUAGCAUAACACUUUGUAUCAGGCUAAGCAAGGUUUAUCUUAAAUUUGUACCUAUCAAAUUUGUUCAUGAUUGUUCACAACAAUAAUAUUAGAACUUUUUCGGCUUCAAUUCUAGUUGAUUGUCGAUUCUGUUCGGUUGAUCAUGCUGCCAACCUAAAAAAUAAGAAAAAAAAUCACAAAGUAUCGAGUAGAAUGUUACAUUCAAAUAUGUGUACUUAUCUGAUGAUUCAAAUGAUUUCCUUGAUUAAUGCCAAUCGUGCGUUCGCUUCGAUUUUGUUUUGUUGGUCGGCUGCCGCCAAGACCCCUUUUAUUGCAGAUCGAAUCCUCCAGCACCAGCUAUUCCGUUGUUUCAAAUUCUCCACGGCGCUGAAAUGAUCAACAAGAAAAAUGUAAACAAAGUAUCUGGUAAAUCAAAUAAUUUGCUUGAAAAUUAUACCUGCGCACAAUACGUAGACAACAACCAGCCGCACAAACGUUUCACUUCAGUCUGUUUUUGCCUGGGCCUGCCUACAACGAGCAUAGCGAGAGAAGAGAAACGAGAGAGCGCAGAAAGCAGAGUAAUAAUACUCUGCCUGGCGCGCUCUUUCGUUUCUCUUCUCUCACUACGCUCGUUACCUGCAUGUUCUCGCAAAUAUGCCGUAAAUCCAAAAUUAUCAACUGUUGAAAAAUAAUUCGCUCAAACAAUUAAAAUAUAGUGACAAUUAUCAAAAACAUGAUAUGCUUAAAAUUGAAUCGUCAAUGAAACUCAAAGGAAUUGUAGCGCAUCAAAAGGAACCGACAUUUUCGAGCCUUUUUGUUCUUGAGCACCUCCGUUUGUUGGUAUAGAUUCUGUCAAUUAAAAUUGGUAAACUCCGGAUUGGCUUUCUUUGGCAGCUCAAAUGUGGGUGAAAUCCAGGGCCAAGUAAGAAAAAAUGAUGUCCACCUAACUUGGCACUACUGGCGCAGCUGCACGACGAACACUUCACCGUAUUGGCUAGUAUGGAGAUCGGAAGGAAAGGGGUCAAGAAACAGCUUUACGAACAGCAGAACAAAGGAGAGGGAGCGUUUUCUUGGGGCUUUUCUUCACCCUCUCUGGCUUGCUUUUGCUGCCACUGCUGCCCAUUUGAAAUUUUUCCUGACCAAUUCCUUCCGAAGUGCAUACACCGCUUAUAGUGAUUGCCUUUACCGUAUGGUUCACAAACUCUCCGCCAAAGUUGUAUUGUGGAUUUAGCUGGUAGCUGGAUUUUCUAGCAUCUUCUCACGGUCAUUGGAAACGGUCGUGGAUAAACCUAGGGAUUCCCAAUUGGUGUGAAAAAGUUCAAUUUAUAGAAAAAUUACGGAUUGAAAUUUUGAUUUUAAGUCACUUCUCUGACUUCAGGAAUAAUUGUUUGAACAUGCUCGUAAUUUUUUUAUUCAGUCGGAAAAAUAUUAUUUUUCUUGAAAAUAGUUUCAUUUUAAACCACAUGACCACCCCUAAUUCUUGCUCGAUGCCGCCAUCAUAAGACCGCGUGCUCCGUUUGUUUGUCAACAAACUGCAGCUGGAUGGUGAGACGAAGUGAAAUUCAUAACUCGGUCAAAGAUUUUUUACCCAUUCUGGAAAUUUCGGAAAGGGGACAUCAACCCUAAAACAUAUAAAAAAUGAAAAAAAUAAAAAAUAGUGUUUUUUUUGCAAAUUAAGUUUUAGUGACAAAAAGUGAAAUUAAAAAUCACCCAAUUUUUUUUACCGUGUAUCAUAUUUUUUCAGUGUAGUCCUUAUCCAUACCUACAACUUUGCCAAAGACAUCAAAUCGAUCAAAAAAAAUCCUACCAAAGAUACAGAUUUUCGAAUUAUCAUAAAUCAUUUUUGUAUGGGCAGCUGCCAAAUUUGUUUGGAAAAUUAUAUGGACGAACUAAUGAUGCAAAAUGACUUCUUUGGGCAUACCGAAGGCAUCAAAAAAGUUUCAGGCGGAUUAAAAAAAUACAAAAAUAUAAAUUAAAGAAAAAAUACCGAUUUCGUAGAGAGUUACUCGUAAAUAACAUUUCGGGAAAGUGUCUUUUCGGAGAUGUGGCAUUCGGGGAAAUGUCUUUUCGGGAAUGUGGGAUUCGGGGAAAUGUCAUAGAUUCAAAAAAUUUCGACGGUUUUGUUCGAACUCGAAUCAGUUCCAUACGGAGCAUCGGAUCGAGGUGCUCUUUGUUGCGUUGGGUUCGUAUAAGUCCAAAGAAGGUUUGUAUGCUAAAAAGAUGCCCCUUUGGCCACUCUGGGACCGAUUCCGGAGCACCUGCAAAUUGUAUGGAAAAAGUUGCGUAAAAUCAAUUUUUAAUAUAGGAGGCUGAAUAAGCAAACAAGCUAAAAGCGUCAAGAAACGAAAAAAAAGACAAGACAAAGUUUGUCGGGGUUAGCUUGUUUUAAAUUAAAAAAAAAAAAACAUAAAAAAUACAUGAAUUUUAUUUGAGUUAUUUGAUUUUCAAGUUAACCAGAAUCCUGCCGAAAUAAAGACUUUACAAUAUAAUACAAAGUUCCUGCAAAUUUCCCAUUGAUUUUUUUUUCUCAAAUUCAAAAUACGUUUUUCUAAGCGUUUUUCUUUUGAUCUCCGACCUCGUAGACCCACCUUCCCGUAUCCCACACGGAAAAAAAUCAAUUCUCGAAAUCGCGAAUUAAAUUCACGAAUGUGAGAACCACGAAGGAAUAUAUUCAUGUUUAUAGUGCAAAUGCACCAUACUCAUGAAUAAAUUCCUUCGUGGUUCUCACAUUCGUGAACUUAAUUCACGGUGGUUGGAAUGGUUUUUUUUUCUGUGCACCGGCAUCACUAUGGUACAUUGGGUGGCCAAGUUUCAAAAAAGUGACCUUCUCCAAAUAUUUUUUGGUAUUUUUUUUCUCGAAAGUAAACAUUCUAACUAAGAAAAAUCCAAAUUUUCAAAGCUGUAAGUUUGUUCGUUACGGAGAUACGCAAGCUGAAAGUCAAACAAUGGAGUAAAAAACUAGCGUUUUUCGUAAAAAAGGCUGAUUGUUUAAUUUUAACAUAGCUCAGCCAUUUUAAAUAUUUUAUUAGGACAAUUAUACAUCAUUGGAAAGGUAAUGAUAUAAGCUUUUAAACUAUUGACAGAUAAAAUGUUAUUUCCAGACUAAAAACUGAAGUUUUCAUCGUAUAACUGGAGCAUUUUUUUGACAAAACUUAUUUUUUUGUGUUUGUUAAUCGAGUACUUUUUUUGCUAACCGAUGCUAAACAUGUAACUAAGGUCACUUAAAAGAUUGGAUCAUAAUCUAACAUUGCUGAAAUUUCCAGCCUGCGAUUUUUUGCGUUUUCGGAGAUAUGCCAUUUUGAACAUUUACGUUUUAUCAAAAUUUGCUGCAAUCUACAUAUGCGCCCGUUUAUUUCACUUGCUUUGCUACCUACUUCGUGGGCAUCGUCGCUUCAAAAAUCAAUACCUGGUUUCAAGAAGUUCGAAAUGACUUUAUUGGAAUUUUCUGUUGCCUACAUUUAAAAUUGAGUACCUUAGUCAAAAUAAGGUAUUCGUACCGAAGUUUCUCAAGCGAAAUUGGAGAAUCUCAGUUUGAUACCGAAAAAGUAUUCAGCAAAAUAUUGACAUAGCAUGAUGAAUUUCUGCGAUCAAUCCAUGAAACUGAUCCACAUUUAAGUUCUAUGUUGGUUAGUACAAAACAUCAUAAAAAGUACCUUUAACAUAUCCUGAAGCCGUCAGAAACUCUAUAAUCAAAUGAAUUUUCAUGAACAAGAACAUCAGGAUUAGUAAGAAUAUGUUUUGUUUUUUAUCGUUUUACUUCAUAAUUAAUAUUUUGAAUAAAAUUAAUUUUUCUGUUAUUUGAUUUAACAAUUCAAAUUUUCGCAAUUUAUGCCCGUAAAGGGUAGGUGGGGCGUGGGGGUGGGUCUCAAGUUAUAUGGGAUGGACUCACAAAAAGAAACACACAGCAGUAAAUAAUAAAUAUUUGACUUUAAAUGGAU